GCAGAGGAAGAAAAUGGAAGUGACUUGGAGUUAUGGCACCAAAAAGGCCAGACGAGCAAGGAAAUAAUCAGCUGCACAUGAGCCACUUCUGGGCCAUCACAAUGAAAAGGGCCCACGACUAACCCCAGGAAAGGUCAUCAGGACCAUGGGGGUCACAAGCAGAAAAAGGCAAUAGUGUGGCUGCCAGCUGCAAUAAGAAUCAAUGUGGUCCUAAUUACACUCAGAAGAGGGCUUGGGCUUGAGCUCAGGAAAAGUUUUGCUGUAGUCACAACUUGCAUAAGAAAUUAAAGGACGCCUGUUCUACUCCCUUCGAAGCAGGCACCACAAGAAACCAAACAAACUAAUUACUGGCGAUGCUUAGGAAACAGACCUACUUCAAAGUCACCCAGAUUGCCUAUUGUUCGUCUAAGGACUCCAACCUGUCAAAGAAGACCUGAUGCUGUAUAAAAGACCCUUGGGUUCUGAUCCUUUUUAUCUCAGAUCUGCUUGAUGCUUCAUGAAGGAGAAGUUUAAGCCAAAAGGUUGAGAUCUCCAGUCCUAACCUGGAAUCUCCCUGACUAUAAACAUUGUACUAGAACCUAUAAACUAAUUCUAAAAUAACUCUUUGCAACUACAAAGCUCACCAUCUCUGCUAUGAAUCUGAAUCUCAAGAACCGUACUCAUGUCUAUAUGUAUAUUGAACUUUUAACCAAUACUCUCUUUUCUUUUUUAAUAAAUUUUAGUUUAGUUAAUAAG